rnacentral:tRNA from 1 species
GGACCCGUAGCUCAGCUAGGUGGAGCGCCAGACUCAUAAUCUGUUGGUCGUUGGUUCAAAUCCGACCGGGUCCACCA